GCAAUCUGCCCUUCACUCUGGGACAAGCCCUGGAAACGGGGUCUAAUACCGGAUAUGAGCCUCCACCGCAUGGUGGAGGCUGUAAAGCUCCGGCGGUGAAGGAUGAGCCCGCGGCCUAUCAGCUUGUUGGUGAGGUAAUGGCUCACCAAGGCGACGACGGGUAGCCGGCCUGAGAGGGCGACCGGCCACACUGGGACUGAGACACGGCCCAGACUCCUACGGGAGGCAGCAGUGGGGAAUAUUGCACAAUGGGCGAAAGCCUGAUGCAGCGACGCCGCGUGAGGGAUGACGGCCUUCGGGUUGUAAACCUCUUUCAGCAGGGAAGAAGCGAAAGUGACGGUACCUGCAGAAGAAGCGCCGGCUAACUACGUGCC
rnacentral:rRNA from 1 species